CCUACGGGUGGCUGCAGUGGGGAAUAUUGGACAAUGGGCGAAAGCCUGAUCCAGCCAUGCCGCGUGUGUGAAGAAGGCCUUCGGGUUGUAAAGCACUUUCAGUGGGGAAGAAAGCCUUGGGGCUAAUACCCUCGAGGAAGGACAUCACCCACAGAAGAAGCACCGGCUAACUCCGUGCCAGCAGCCGCGGUAAUACGGAGGGUGCGAGCGUUAAUCGGAAUUACUGGGCGUAAAGCGCGCGUAGGCGGUCUGAUAAGCCGGUUGUGAAAGCCCCGGGCUCAACCUGGGAACGGCAUCCGGAACUGUCAGGCUAGAGUGCAGGAGAGGAAGGUAGAAUUCCCGGUGUAGCGGUGAAAUGCGUAGAGAUCGGGAGGAAUACCAGUGGCGAAGGCGGCCUUCUGGACUGACACUGACGCUGAGGUGCGAAAGCGUGGGUAGCAAACAGGAUAAGAUACCCCGGUAGUC
rnacentral:rRNA from 1 species